UACGUAGGGGGCAAGCGUUGUCCGGAAUUACUGGGCGUAAAGAGCUCGUAGGUGGUUUGUCGCGUUGUUCGUGAAAACUCACAGCUUAACUGUGGGCGUGCGGGCGAUACGGGCAGACUGGAGUACUGCAGGGGAGACUGGAAUUCCUGGUGUAGCGGUGGAAUGCGCAGAUAUCAGGAGGAACACCGGUGGCGAAGGCGGGCCUCUGGGCAGUAACUGACGCUGAGACGCGAAAGCGUGGGGAGCGAACAGG
rnacentral:rRNA from 1 species